rnacentral:rRNA from 1 species
UACGUAGGUGGCAAGCGUUGUCCGGAUUUACUGGGCGUAAAGAGCGCGCAGGCGGUCGUAUAAGUCGAAUGUGAAAGCCCCCGGCUCAACUGGGGAGGGUCAUUCGAUACUGUUCGACUCGAAGGCAGGAGGGGGAAGUGGAAUUCCGGGUGUAGUGGUGAAAUGCGUAGAUAUCCGGAGGAACACCAGUGGCGAAGGCGACUUUCUGGCCUGUUCUUGACGCUGAGGCGCGAAAGCUAGGGGAGCAAACGGG